GUUUUUAAAUGAUUGCAAACAAUCACUUAAAAAGAGGUAACAUUUUUAACAGAUGAAAUUAACGAGGGUAAUUAAUAGACUCCUCAUUAGGUUGCUGAACACGCGUUUAAGUGCAUAAUAUUUCCCUUAAACUGAUUAGCACAAUACAGGUUUGACUCGUUAUCAUUUUCUUUGUUUUUGAAUUCUUCGUUAUCUAUCAAAUGAUUAGAUUUAGUGACCAGGUGUCCACACUUUCCCCAAAUAGAAACCUGCUGAUUUGCCUCAGUCUUUUUUUUUUUUUUUUUGAUUAGUUAAAAAGUUUUUUUAACCUCUUUAUGUAAUCGUCUACAAUAUAGCACAAUGUGAAUAUGGGACUUUUAUUCUUUAUGGCAUGCAUAGCUAUUUCUGACACAAGGUGGCUUAAGUGGGCAAAUAAUCCCUCUGACAUGAGAAGCACCUAAUUAAGGAAAAAUAAUAGCUUGUUAUAAUUCCGGGAUUGCAAUUGUGGUUGGAACGAAAACCAGCAUACACAGUGGGCCCCCAGGACCGAGGUUGAGAACCACUGGUAUAGGCUAUUAUGAAUUAAUUACGAGUACAUUAUUUGUCAAUUCCAGUAUGUUAUUGCAGGUUGUGGUCGAUACUUCUGUAAAUGGUAAAUGGACUGCAUUUAUAUAGCGCUUUUAUCCAAAGCGCUUUACAAUUGAUGCCUCUCAUUCGCCAGAGCAGUUAGGGGUUAGGUGUCUUGCUCAAGGACACUUCGACACUCCCAGGGCGGGGUUUGAACCGGCAACCCUCCGAUUGCCAGACAAUCGGUCUUACCUCCUGAGCUAUGUCGCCCCUGUACGAGUGAUUUGAAUCCAUCAGAUCAACUAGUGCUUUUAUUUUAUGUAAUGUGUUACAUGGCAACUGAUUUGAUUAGAAAGGGUCGCUUUUUAAAUUUUAUUGACUGAACUCAAUGAAAUGUCAAUGAAAUGACUUGCUUGUGGAGCACUUUGUGUCACAUUUGUGUAUGAAAGGUGGCAUACAAGUAAAGCACAUGUGUCAAACUUAAGUCCUGGUUCAUUUAAGCCGCUGAUUGGCUAAGGGAUCCGCACGGCUUAUUCUCAAGGCCUUAAUUGGCAGCUCGUUUAAAGAAAAACACGAAAACCCUCAGACACUGUGGCCUCUUUGGGAUUCAGUUUGAUGCCCUUGAAUUAAAGUUCAAGGGCAUCAAACUGAACUCUAUGAGUUGUCGCACUAUUUUGAGACAGUAUGACAGUCAGCGUUACUGUGAUAUAUUUAAAGUCACACAAAAAAAAAACUAAAAGGAAUUAAUUUGGACUGUUCUAUCUCCAUUGCGGCUUGUGAAUUUUGUGAUUGGUUUUUCAGUUCACAAACUCAAUGCAGCGAAAGAUGUGGACAUCUUGUAGAAUGGUACGGGCUCCUUUUCCCCAGAGUGCAUGACAAGAAUGUUUUUUCCCGGAGCGUAGAGCUUCAGGUGCCAAGCUUCAGAGAAGUUUUACCUGCGGCAGGUGUGAAGUGGCCUCUCAAAUAAGCACACGUCCCAGCUGCUGUUUCCUGUGGAACUGGGAACAACACUGCAGCAAACCAGAGAGCCAGUGAUGAGACACUGAAAAAUAAAAGAGACAAUGGCAACGAAAAGUGAGCGUCAAGUCAUAAAACACGUUCCCCACACAAAAAACAAGCCGGGGCCCAAUCACUGAGGAGUGGCCCACACACUGGCUACCUGUGUAAGAUCUAUUUACAAGUGACCUGUGGCUCACAACAAGUAUCAGCAUCCCAAGGUAGUGAAAAGUAGUGGGAGUUGCAAUCACCUCAACACCAACAGCACCGCAAAAAAAAAGGAAUUCAUUCCUACCUGACAGAGUAAUGGACACACUCAGUUAUGCUUGGAUACAGUUUUCAAAAACAAUGCUUUGUGAUUCAUUUUUUCACAUCUGUCUUCCAGCUGUUUCAUGUUUUUUUUUACAGCUUGUUUACAGUCCUCUCUGGCUGGCGAAUCUUUUAAACUGUGAAGAUCUGAAACAAAUAUAAGCACACACUGAGGGGUCCCUUUGGAAAGAAAAAAAAAACACACUUGAUUGUUGUAAUCUGAUGACAUCUGGGAAAAGUGAACAUGUUGGUGGAGUUCUCUCUGUUUUUGGUUUUGAUGGUGUAUUACUAAACAGACGAUACAAGUUUGUAGAGUAUUUUCUGCUCAUUUUCUUGCAUUAUACUGAUUUGAUAUAUGUUUUUUUUUUUUUUUUUUUGUGGACAAAGCUGUAAAGAAUGGAAUGAAAUGGAAACCCUGUCGGGACUUGAAUAUACCUGUCUGGCUAACACUUACCACCGCAGGGUAUGGUAAAUUAGCCUCUUUUUUUUGUAAAUCAUGCUUAUUUCACCCUGAGUUGCAAGUUCAUGGUAGUUAGAGACAA